CUGAGAUCAAAUCUAAGAGAAGGACUCUGGUUGAAUCCUUUAGGUAACAUCUAGGUAUCAUGGGUCCCUUGCACCAACAGGGCAAGUGAAACAAGACAAAUGGGUGAGAGGAGGUCAAGUGAUUAGCACAGGAUUGUAAUAAGAAGUUAAAUGCAACCCACUUA